CUUUAUUUGCGCAGCAUAGGUGGGAGGCAUUGAGUUUAUUCUUGCGGGAAUUUAGGAGCCAUCAGUGAGAUACCACUCUGGUAAUGUUAGAUUUCUAACUUUGUAUCAUGAUCUGGUCAAAGAACAGUUUCAGGCGGGCAGUUUGACUGGGGCGGUCGCCUCCCAAAUGGUAACGGAGGCGUACAAAGGUUUCCUCUGAACGUGUAGAAAUCGUAUCUAGAGUGUAAAGGCAUAAGGAAGCUUGAUUGUGAGACCUACAAGUCGAGCAGGGACGAAAGUCGGUCUUAGUGAUCUGACGGUGCUGAGUGGAAAGGCCGUCACUCAACGGAUAAAAGUUACUCUAGGGAUAACAGGCUGA
rnacentral:rRNA from 1 species